rnacentral:rRNA from 1 species
GCUUACGGACAUACUACCCUGUUCUCGCCCGAUCUCGUCUGGUCUCGGAAGCUAAAUAGGGUCGGGCCUGGUUAGUACUUGGAUGGGAGACUGCCUGGGAAUACUAGGUGCUGUAAGCU